UACGGGGGGGGCAAGCGUUGUUCGGAAUUACUGGGCGUAAAGGGCUCGUAGGCGGCCAACUAAGUCAGACGUGAAAUCCCUCGGCUUAACCGGGGAACUGCAUCUGAUACUGGAUGGCUUGAGUUCGGGAGAGGGAUGCGGAAUUCCAGGUGUAGCGGUGAAAUGCGUAGAUAUCUGGAGGAACACCGGUGGCGAAGGUGGCAUCCUGGACCGACACUGACGCUGAGGCGCGAAAGCCAGGGGAGCGAACGGG
rnacentral:rRNA from 1 species